rnacentral:rRNA from 2 species
UCAAGCUACUAAGGGCGCAUGGCGGAUGCCUUGGCGCUAGGAGCCGAUGAAGGGCGUGGCAAGCGACGAUAUGCCUCGGGUAGCCGCAAGCAGGCUUUGAUCCGGGGAUGCCCGAAUGGGGAAACCCACUGGGGAUAAUGCCCCAGUAUCCUCAUCUGAAGUAAGUAGGGUGAGGAGGGGAACCGCGGGAACUGAAACAUCUAAGUACCGCGAGGAAAAGAAAGAAAUCUCGAUUCCCUGAGUAGCGGCGAGCGAAACGGGAAGAGCCCAAACCGGUAGCGUGUAAUAGCCUGCAGGCGUUGCGUUACCGGGGUUGUAGGAGCCGUUCGUAGGGUAUCUGCAGGUACUCUAAAUACGGGAUAAGUUUUAGCUGAAGCGGUCUGGAAAGGCCCACCACAGACGGUGACAGUCCGGUAAGCGAAAAGGCUUAUGCUGUAUUAGGAUGGCAUCCUGAGUACCACGGGGCACGUGAAACCCUGUGGGAAACCGGGAGGACCACCUCCCAAGGCUAAAUACUACCUAGCGACCGAUAGUGAACUAGUACCGUGAGGGAAAGGUGAAAAGAACCCCGGGAGGGGAGUGAAAUAGAACCUGAAACCAUGUGCCUACAAAAAGUGGGAGGACCAUCAGGUGCAUUUAGCAUGACUGGGUCUGACCGCGUACUUUUUGCAGAACGGACCGGCGAGUUACAGUAUGUGGCGAGGUUAAGCAGUAGAUGCGGAGCCGUAGCGAAAGCGAGUCUGAAUAGGGCGUGGGCCUUUGGCCCAGAAGUCGCAUGCUGUAGACCCGAAACCGGGUGAGCUACCCAUGGCCAGGGUGAAGCGAGGCUAAUCCCUCGUGGAGGCCCGAACCACGUUGACGUUGAAAAGUCAUGGGAUGAGCUGUGGGUAGGGGUGAAAAGCCAAUCGAACCCGGAGAUAGCUGGUUCUCUCCGAAAUAGCUUUAGGGCUAGCCUCGGGAGUUUACUUAUGGAGGUAGAGCACUGAUCGGGCUAGGGGGCCUGAAAGCUUACCGAACCCUUUCAAACUCCGAAUGCCAUAAGUUAAGAUCCCGGGAGUCAGACUGCGUGCACUAAGGUUCGUAGUCGAGAGGGAAAUAGCCCAGACCCAAAGUUAAGGUCCCAAAGUAUAGGCUAAGUGGGAAAGGAUGUGGGGUUGCCCAGACAGCCAGGAUGUUGGCUUAGAAGCAGCCAUUCAUUUAAAGAGUGCGUAAUAGCUCACUGGUCAAGUGAUCCUGCGCCGAAGAUCCAACGGGGCUUAAGCCUAUCACCGAAGCUUGGGUAGCAGUCUAUUAGGCUGCUAGGUAGGAGAGCGUUCCCUGGCGAGCGAAGUAAGACCGUAAGGACUUAUGGACGGCAGGGAAGUGAGAAUGCCGGUAUGAGUAGCGAUAAGGCAGGUGAGAAUCCUGCCCGCCGAAAACCUAAGGUUUCCUGAGGAAGGGUCGUCCGCUCAGGGUAAGUCGGGACCUAAGCUGAGGGCGAAAGCCGUAGGCGAUGGACAAUCGGUUGAUAUUCCGAUACCACCCUGGAACCGCCCAUGGGAAUCACAGGCCUUGUGUUAUGGCCUCGGCCAUGGCAAUAGGCUUAUGAGGACCAAGCGAUGGGGUGACGCAGAAGGGUAGGCCAUCAGGCGACUGGAAGUGCCUGUCCAAAGGUGUAGGAGGUGGCAUAGGCAAAUCCGUGCCACAUAUACUCCGAGGCCUGAUGGGGACGCGAAAUUGUAGUAGCGGAACUGGCUGACCCCAUGCUGCCAAGAAAAGCCUCUAGCGAGGGGCCAGGGUGCCCGUACCGCAAACCGACACAGGUAGGUGGGGUGAGAAUCCUAAGGCGCGCGAGAGAACUCUCGUUAAGGAACUCGGCAAACUAACCCUGUAACUUCGGGAGAAAGGGUGCCCUGUUAGUGUGGCAUAGGCAUGCUUUAUGCUGCAUGAGAGGGCCGCAGAGAAAUGGCCCAAGCGACUGUUUAUCAAAAACACAGGUCUCUGCUAAGUCGAAAGACGAUGUAUAGGGGCUGACGCCUGCCCAGUGCCGGAAGGUUAAGGGGAAGGGUUAGCGCAAGCGAAGCUCUGAACCGAAGCCCCGGUGAACGGCGGCCGUAACUAUAACGGUCCUAAGGUAGCGAAAUUCCUUGUCGGGUAAGUUCCGACCCGCACGAAUGGCGUAACGACUUGGGCGCUGUCUCAACGAGAGGCUCGGCGAAAUUAUAAAUACCCGUGAAGAUGCGGGUUACCCGCGACAAGACGGAAAGACCCCGUGGAGCUUUACUGUAGCCUGAGAUUGGAUUUUGGUGCGUUAUGUACAGGAUAGGUGGGAGGCUUGGAAGGGGCGACGCCAGUUGCCCUGGAGCCGACCUUGGGAUACCACCCUUAGCGUGCUGGAGUUCUAACCCUUAUCCGUGAUCCGGGUGGGGGACAUUCUCUGGUGGGCAGUUUGACUGGGGCGGUCGCCUCCCAAAAGGUAACGGAGGCGCCCAAAGGUUCCCUCAGCGCGGUUGGAAAUCGCGCUUCCAGAGUGUAAAGGCAUAAGGGAGCUUGACUGCGAGAGCAACAACUCGAGCAGGAUGGAAACAUGGGCUUAGUGAUCCGGUGGCACUGUGUGGAAGGGCCAUCGCUCAACGGAUAAAAGCUACCCCGGGGAUAACAGGCUGAUUUCCCCCAAGAGUCCACAUCGACGGGGAAGUUUGGCACCUCGAUGUCGGCUCGUCGCAUCCUGGAGCUGGAGCAAGUUCCAAGGGUUGGGCUGUUCGCCCAUUAAAGCGGCACGCGAGCUGGGUUCAGAACGUCGUGAGACAGUUCGGUCCCUAUCUGUCGUGGGCGCAGGAGAUUUGAGGGGAGCCGUCCCUAGUACGAGAGGACCGGGAUGGAUAUACCGAUGGUGUACCAGUUAUUCCGCCAGGAGUACAGCUGGGAAGCUAAGUAUAGAAGGGAUAAGCGCUGAAAGCAUCUAAGCGCCAAGCCCCCCCCAAGAUGAGAUCUCCCACGGAGUAGUCCGGUAAGACCCCAGAGAGAUUAUCUGGUAGAUAGGCCGGCGGUGUAAGGAUAGUGAUAUCUUCAGCUAGCCGGUACUAAUAGGUCGAGGGCUUGACCUU